rnacentral:rRNA from 1 species
UACGGAGGGUGCGAGCGUUGUCCGGAAUCACUGGGCGUAAAGGGCGCGUAGGCGGCCUGAUAAGUAGGGGGUGAAAUCCUGCGGCUUAACCGCAGGGCUGCCUUCUAAACUGUCAGGCUAGAGUACAGUAGAGGCAGGUGGAAUUCCCGGUGUAGCGGUGGAAUGCGUAGAGAUCGGGAAGAACAUCAGUGGCGAAGGCGGCCUGCUGGGCUGUUGCUGACGCUGAGGCGCGACAGCGUGGGGAGCAACAGG